rnacentral:tRNA from 1 species
GCAUUGGUGGUUCAGUGGUAGAAUUCUCGCCUUCCAUGCAUGAGACCUGGGUUCAGUUCCCACCAAUGGA